GACAGCAAGUUCCAAUGCAAACAGCUAACGACCUACAAGCAUGCAAACAAGUGUGUUAGACAACGCUGAUAGUAAUCCUCAGAAGAAUUCCAGGAUCAGGAUCACGGACUAUCAUAAGGAUCCUCAUGCUAACAGUUGUUUUCCUUGGAUUUAAUGUUAUCUUGCAGGAAUGACUAGCAGGAUCCGCUCUUAGCAACGUAAACAAGGGACGCGUCUUUACAACUUUGGCAUACGCUUAAUCAGAGAUGAACGUUGUAAAGGAUAUGGAAACUCAGCAUGAUUUAAGGGCGAUAAUUUAGGCUAGAUUUACUUUUAUUCCUAAAGGGGUAAUGAGCUGAUAGUUAGUCUAUUUACCUAAAAUAGGGCCACUCACACUUGUAUAUAUAGCACUCUCCCACAUUCGGAAGACACACAACACAUUUCUCACACGCUUAGACACACGAUACUAUAGUGAUCCUUGUACUCAGCUCAUUACC
rnacentral:lncRNA from 1 species